rnacentral:rRNA from 1 species
UACGUAGGGGGCGAGCGUUGUCCGGAAUCAUUGGGCGUAAAGCGCGUGUAGGCGGCCCGGUAAGUCCGCUGUGAAAGUCCAGGGCUCAACCCUGGGAUGCCGGUGGAUACUGUCGGGCUCGAGUCCGGAAGAGGCGAGUGGAAUUCCUGGUGUAGCGGUGAAAUGCGCAGAUAUCAGGAAGAACACCAAUGGCGAAGGCAGCUCUCUGGGACGGUACUGACACUGAGACGCGAAAGCGUGGGGAGCGAACAGG